AUUGAACGCUAGCGGGAUGCUUUACACAUGCAAGUCGAACGGCAGCGCGGACUUCGGUCUGGCGGCGAGUGGCGAACGGGUGAGUAAUGUAUCGGAACGUGCCCACUAGCGUGGGAUAACUACGCGAAAGCGUAGCUAAUACCGCAUACGCCCUACUGGGGAAAGCAGGGGAUCGUAAGACCUUGCACUCUUGGAGCGGCCGAUAUCGGAUUAGCUAGUUUGUGAGGUAACGGCUCACCAAGGCGACGAUCCGUAGCUGGUUUGAGAGGACGACCAGCCACACUGGGACUGAGACACGGCCCAGACUCCUACGGGAGGCAGCAGUGGGGAAUUUUGGACAAUGGGGGCAACCCUGAUCCAGCCAUCCCGCGUGUGCGAUGAAGGCCUUCGGGUUGUAAAGCACUUUUGGCAGGAAAGAAACGUCGCGGGCUAAUACCCCGUGGAACUGACGGUACCUGCAGAAUAAGCACCGGCUAACUACGUG
rnacentral:rRNA from 1 species